CGUGUAGGCGGAUAUAUAGGUCAGAAGUGAAAUCCAAUAGCUUAACUAUUGAACUGCUUUUGAAACUGUAUAUCUAGAAUGUGGGAGAGGUAGAUGGAAUUUCUGGUGUAGGGUAAAAUCCGUAGAGAUCAGAAGGAAUACCGAUUGCGAAGGCGAUCUACUGGAACAUUAUUGACGCUGAGACGCGAAAGCGUGGGAGCAAACA
rnacentral:rRNA from 1 species